rnacentral:lncRNA from 1 species
CCCCCUGCGCCUUCGGGCCCAUUCGUGCGUCUGGGCCUCAAAGGUCGCUCGUUCGGUCCAUGGACCGCGGUCCGCGAUCCAUGGUACCAACAGUACUCCCCCCUUCCUCGAUGGGCCCGGGCUCGGGGGCCACCCGUCCGCGCUUGGCCCACGCCAUCCCCUCUUUACUAGUCUUGAAGGCUCCUCGAGGUUCGAGCUGCUCCCCCUUCUCCCCUCCUAUAAAUAGAGCGCUCGCUACUUUGGUUUCUCAUCCCUUCCUUCCUUCGCAAUGAGCAUCCGGGAUAUUCUUGAAGAGUAUGGCCGCGAAGUGCAACUCCAGCACGCCG